GGCCAGCUCCUACGGGAGGCAGCAGUGGGGAAUAUUGCACAAUGGGGGAAACCCUGAUGCAGCGACGCCGCGUGAGCGAUGAAGUAUUUCGGUAUGUAAAGCUCUAUCAGCAGGGAAGAAGAUGACGGUACCCGACUAAGAAGCCCCGGCUAACUACGUGCCAGCAGCCGCGGUAAUACGUAGGGGGCAAGCGUUAUCCGGAUUUACUGGGUGUAAAGGGAGCGUAGACGGCGAUGCAAGCCAGAUGUGAAAGCCCGGGGCUCAACCCCGGGACUGCAUUUGGAACUGUGUGGCUGGAGUGUCGGAGAGGCAGGCGGAAUUCCUGGUGUAGCGGUGAAAUGCGUAGAUAUCAGGAGGAGCACCGGCGGCGAAGGCGGCCUGCUGGACCGCGACUGACGUUGAGGCUCGAAAGCGUGGGGAGCAAACAGGAUUAGAUACCCCCGUA
rnacentral:rRNA from 1 species